CCGGGCUUUACUACCAGUUAUCCUGUCCCUGCAGACUGCAGAUGUCCCUAUAUUAGUCUUGUGACUCUGGAUCUGUGCCCUACCUGUUACUCGUGGUAGCUGCACAAUCCUACCCUUAUACCCAAGGACUGUUACAGUAUUUGUUGCCUGCAUGAUUAGUACUAAUUUUGAUUUACUGUAUAUAUUUUGUGGCCUUGUGUGUG